rnacentral:tRNA from 1 species
CGCGGGGUAGAGCAGUUUGGUAGCUCGUCGGGCUCAUAACCCGGAGGUCCCAGGUUCAAAUCCUGGCCCCGCCACCA